GGAAUGAUGCGUCUGUCUCUAACUCCAGGCUAAGAAAGAGUCAGGAGAAGAGUUACCUGGCUGGAGUUGAGGGACCUCCCUGGGUAGGUGCUUUAGGGGACUGAUUGUACAUAAGAUCUGGGCUGGAGCUCCAGGAGGAAAGUGACCCGUGUCAGGAGCUCAGGGAUUCCUCUUUAGCAGGGGGUGGCAUCACCAAGCCCCCAGCGCACACAGAGCAGGGAGCACAUCCUGCCAGGAAGCAGCAGCAUGAGGCAAGCAUGACACUGCAUGUUGCCUGGAUAGGCGAGUGACUCUGCUGUGGAAGUGUUGUGCAGCUGGACCUGCUUGAAUUUUUCUGAUCACGCACAGUUCUCCUGACAUCCUGAGUCUUGUGCCAUUCUGCUCCGUCAGCCUUGCGAAAGGGUUCAGAUGAGCCCUGGACUUUGAGGCCCUUCUCAGCAGUGUUGUUAAUUUUGAGUCUCUAAUGGGAUCUGUCCACCCCCAAGAUACACACAGCAGAAUCCAAAGCCUUCCCCAUAUGUGCAGAUGCUGGGGCAAGCUCAGGAUGCUACCCUACCAGCGCCAGCCCAGCCAGAUAUGUGGUUCCCCAGAGCGUGUAGUUGAUUGAAACGUGAGUCCCAGUCUUGUGCAGGGGAGGCCUGGAGACCAUGAUCAGAUGCUGAGAGGUGCUGAGUUCAAUGGGUGCUCAGAGCUCCUCCCUGCUCAGCCUCAUCGCAGCCCCUCCGUCUCCCUGCCAUGAACUCCAAGCUCAGAGGAGACAGGUUCUGGCAGCAUGGGAGCUAAUAAGCAAGUCAGUGGAGCACUCAGCAGAGCAGCGUUCCCUUUGAUUAGUGACCUAAUCCCCCAGGAGAGCGACGGCCCAGCUGGCAGCCGAACACAUAGGAAAAUAGGUUACUGCUUGAUUAGAGCGGGCCUUCAAAGAGCAGGGCUGGCACCGGCACGGGCACCGGGGCCAUGGAAAUGUCACCCUGAUAAGACCCGAGUGUUGUGUACAAUCCCUGAGCUCUAGGGACCAGCUCUCGAUUAAGGGCUGGGAGUUUCCAUUCUCAGCCCACGUCAGACUCCCAUGUGGUGCCCCAGGGUUAGGUCAAGAGGAGGUGGCUGGAAGGUGCCCGUCUCAGGCAGUAUUGUUCCUGCCACUGUGCAGCAGCCACACCCCUUUCAGCUGUAGUGAGUUUGGUGUUGGAGUCUGAACUCUUUGGGACAUCCCCAGAGGUGGGAUGAUGGGACAAUGCCAGGGCAAGCUUCCUUUGCCCUGUCCCUCUGCCAGCAUGAUUUCCCCCUCACCCGCUGUGACCUCCCUGGGUGGAAGAGGGGUUUCAUUCUCCAUGUUCAUCAGGGCUUGACCCCUCUGCUGAGGUGCUGGCAAGAGGCCAGAUCCCAGAAGUGGCUUUUGUGAUGGGGACACCUGGCUGCCAGAAGCUGAGCUGAGGUCCCCACCCGAUUCAGUGCACACAGACCCCUGAGCCCUGGCAGCCGGAGUGGCUCCCAGCCAGCUCCAGAUAUGUCCCAGUGACUGAUGCCCCAGUGCCAGCCCUUCCUGCAGUGUUAACACUGACAUCCUAUGAGCUCUGGAGCUGACAGUGUAUUCCAGGAACUCAAAUGCCAGUAGCUAAGCAGAGCUGACUGCCAUGCUGAGGCUCCCGACAGACACAGGGGCCUGAUACCUUGAAUCACAGCUGCAUAGAGCAGGAGUUGGUUCCAGCAACUUGCAAAAGAGAGGCAGCUGCUGCUUUCCAGUAAACAUGAUGCUCUGAAGCCUCAGGUUAAAAGCGAUCUCAAAACACUUUACGAAGGAGGUCAGCAACAUCACCCCCAUGGGACAGACAGGGAAACUGAGGCCCAGAGAAGCAGUGAUUUGCCAAAAGUCAGUGGCAGAGUCAAGAAUGGAAUGAGCCUCAACGCACCGCCCUGGACUCCCCACUCUAGGUCAGUCUCCUGCUUCUCCCAGACAUCAACGCUGAGAGGGAAGGCCUUAGUCAUUAGUUGUGCGCCCUGGUCUGACGUCAUCCUGUGAUGUGGAUCUGUCCUUUAGCUGGGGGCAGAAGGCAGCUGGCCCACAGGGCUCGUUAGCCACAGUGACCUGAGAGAUCUUUGUGCCCAAGUUCUCCCAUCCCAGUGUCAGUCUUUCUGUGAGGAGGAUCCAUCUCUUUGGGCUUUGCCAUCCCAAUAUUUGGAGCUUUCCUUCUGUCAGAGCAGUGCCCCCAGAGCCCUCUUGGGACCAAGGCCCUCCUGUGCUAGGGGCUGUACAAAGAACAAAGGCAGGCCCUGCCCCCGUGCGGGUCUGGACAGAAGGCCGGGGACAAGGGGCAGCUGAGGCCAUGCAGAGGCAGCACCCAUCGCGUGACCUGGAACAGCAGGCUAAGGGGGUGGAUGUGAGCACUGGAGUGGGCGCACAGGUCAGGCUGGCUGGCUAGGCUCCUCCUG